rnacentral:lncRNA from 1 species
AAUCGAAAGAACAAGUUUUGCAAGCCUCUCAAGACUCACGCAUAAACAAAACUCCACGAGUUUGUGUAUUCUGAAUUUUAACCAAGCAAGAUGUGUCCUUUCAUUGUCUAGUACAAGGGAUAUAUAUAGAUAGGGGCGUUCAGCUUUGAAUACAUGACAGCAUGCACAUCCACUAGUGGAUUUCGUGGCUGGUUCGCGCGUCUUCUCAGCUUCUGGCAGCAGUUACUAAAAUGAGCAUAACUCUUUAUUGGGAAGUCUAAAUAAUGAACCGUUUGAUGGGCUGCAACAUAGACUUAAAGAUGCUUUCAUCCACCUGUAGAAUGCCACGUAACUCCUUGUAUUCUGUCCGUGGUGAUGCUUGGAAUUUGUACCAUGGGUCAGCCAUCUAGCUUCUGGUUGCCUUCUCAUGCAGAAGUAAUGAACCACCAUUUUAUUUAUGCAC